UUCCUGCGCUCCGGCCGCGCCGGGUACCGGCUGGGCUCAAUGUGCUUAGAGCGGUUGGCGCUGGAGGCGCGAGGGAGAACGCUGGGCUCUAGGCGGAACUAUUUUUCGCGGAGUUGACGUCCAGUCGGAAUUGGAUUCUGCAGGAACUGGGAGAGCCGCGGUUUGGGCAAGCAGUCCGGCACGGCCGCGGAAUUCCCGAGGUCCGUGGACGUGUUUGGCUUCAGAGGUGAAGAGCGAAAGUGAAUAGAGGGUUUCUGGAGACUUAAGCUAAGCUCAGCGUAACACGGAAAGGAGGACGUGGGGCUAUCAGUGGGGCAAAGUGAUGACUCUGACUACUGUGAGAAAAUGGAAUUGAGGAGUGGCAAGACUAAUGGAAGGAAAACCAGUUAGGCCAUCAUUGUAGUAAUCCAAGGAAAAUAAGAUGGCGACCUGUACUAGGGCAUUGCCAGCGUGGAUGGAACUAUAAAUCCUGGAGGGAUCCAGGAAGUAGAACUGGCAAGAUUUGACAACUGGAUUGGAAGGCCAGAGCUUAUUUUUCAAUUGCAGGAAGAUUGCUUUACAGUGUUCCUACUAUCCAGCAACUUGAAUCAGCCGUAAUUAUAUAUAUAUCACCUCCUUGGGCCUCCCUCCACCCCACUCCACCGCCACCCCCAUCCUGCCCCUUCGGGUGGUCUCAGAGCACCUGGCUGGGCUACAAGGGCUGGUUCUAAAUGACUUGAUUCCCUAGCACCUUACACCAUGUCUGGCACAAACAGGGCACCUGGUCGUUGUUGAACUGAACUACUCCUUUUUAAACAUGGUACAUCUAACAGGAUAAAUUAAUAGUAGUAGUCUCUGAGGAGGGAGACUGGGGAUCAGAGUGAAAAGAUUCUAUUGUAUAUAUUUUGGUUCUUCAUGCCUUUUCCCUCAUUUGCUUAUAUUUCCUAUGAAAAAUAAAAAUGAUGAGA